UUGAUUAAUCUUAUUUUUGGUCUUCGUGGCAGAGCCUCUGUGCUUGCGCAUGCUUUGCUACAUAGUGUCAUCGGGCUUACACUACCUCCGAUCGACGCGAAUCACC
rnacentral:snRNA from 1 species